UAUUUUAUUUUGUUAAGUUAUGUUAUUUAAUACUUAGAUGUGAAGUAUGCAAGAGAUGUAUUAAGAAAUUACAUAAAGUUUUAACCAUAAGCAAAAGGAGCACACAUUUUUAUAUUCUUGUUACAGGAAAGACAUAUUUUGUUACUGGAAGAGACAUUUUUUACUUUUUUUAAUUUCAAACAACGAUUUAGAAUAAGACAUAAUUUCUUAUAAUGUUCUUUCCACUUUGUAAAUAAAGAUGUUUAAUAAAUAGAUAAAAAAAGCAAGAACAAUCUCACAGCACUAAACGAAAGAUGCUUAAACUUAUAUUGUUGUUACGGGAAAGACAUUAGUUUGUUACUGGAAAGAACUUAUUUCACAAUUUUGUACUCCCGAUGCUUUAAAAUGAUGAAAUAAUGUUUUCUUUAAUGGUACUAAAAUUUCAGAGACCAUAUAUACUUAGAUGCAUUAAGAAAAUUAGGAAAUAUACCUCAAGGAAUAAGAGAAAUACACAUGAUAAUAUUCUUGUUACAGGAAAGACAUAUUCCUUUCAUGUAAAGGAUAUUCUAGCAAUUUUAAUCCGAAAUUCCUUUUUCACAAUACUUCUGCACUUUGUAUUUUUUUAGACAAAUAUUUCACAUGAUAAAUAGAUAAAAAUUGAAAAGAUGUCAGCCAGGAAAAUAGGGAAAUACAGAUAGUUUUCUUUUGUUACAGGAAAGAUGUGCUUUGUAACUGGAUGGAAUACUGUACAUAAACUAACAAGUCAACGGUUUAGAAUAGAUUUUCCUUGUAUUCAACAGAAGAGAAACUUCAAAUUUUAAAUAUGGGUAUGUCUAACGCUGAAAGGCAAAGAAAAUUCAGAGAAAAUCGAAAUAAAGAUCUUGUAAAGAGAGAGGCCUAUCUGAAUAAAGAAAAAGAAAGAUAUCAAAAAGAAAAGAGAACUGGAAAAAAGAAAAGUGUGAAAGAUAUGACUGAACGGGAAAAGAGAUCUGCAAGGAAAAAAUGGAGAACAGCAAAACAUAAAGAGAGAUCAGCCAAAAAGACACUACUCAAAUUAAUUACUCCACCUAACACUCCAGAAUCAUCUCCAAAUUUGCAACCUGGUCCUUCACGUCAGAAAGUACAGAGUGUAAAA